GAGUGCAAAGACAAGACAAGAGCAAGCACACAUCAUCCCAGGAGGGUUUAAAAAUAAUGAUAAGCACAACACUUUUUUGUUGCCCAAUUUUUUUGUUUGUUUGGUGUACCUCACAGAUACCUUGAUUCAUGUCACAAAGGAAAUGACAUGUUUACAAGUUUACAGCAAUGCUCCAUGUCCCCAUCUAACAGAGCUUGCUGAGCUUUACAGCCAGACUGAUGUUCCAUCUGGGCUGCUAUAAUGAAUUACCAUAAACUGGAUGGCUUCAGACAACAGAAAGUAAUCCGCCUUCAGUUUUGAAGACCUGAAGUUCAAAAUCAAGAUGUCAUUGGGCUUGGUUUCUUCUGGAAGCUCUAGGAGAAUCUGUUCCAUACCUCUCAUGGCUUCUGAUGGCUGUGGAUAGUCCUUUGCAUUGUUUGGCUCACUGACACUUGGGUGUCUCCAGUAUUUCACCAUUACAAGCAAUGCUGCAAAGAACAUUCUUAACCAUGUUUCCAUGUGUAAGGGUUCUCUGGAGGAACAGACUACAAUGGAAUUGCUAAGUUUUUGGAUAUGAAUAUCUUCAUCUUUAUCAAAUAUUGCUGAAUUGUUCUCCAAAGAAAAAUGUUAGAAUUCUUUAUAUAUUCACGGUUCUAAAGUAUUGUUGGUUAUAUG